ACACGGACCAAGGAGUUUAGCGUGUGCGCGAGUCAUUGAGUGAAAAAACUCAAAGGCGUAAUGAAAGUGAAGGGAACUUUACGUUUCUGAGGGAGGAUGAGUGUGCUCUUCACGGGGCCGCUCCGCACUCCCGGGGCGUCUCUAUCUCAUUGCGAGAGGAGGCGCACCUAGAGCGUACACGCUGAUACCCGAAAGAUGGUGAACUAUGCCUGGCCAGGACGAAGCCAGGGGAAACCCUGGUGGAGGUCCGCAGCGAUUCUGACGUGCAAAUCGAUCGUCGGAGCUGGGUUUAGGGGCGAAAGACCAAUCGAACCAUCUAGUAGCUGGUUCCCUCUGAAGUUUCCCUCAGGAUAGCUUGCGCUCGGACGAGACGAGUCUCAUCCGGUAGAGCGAAUGAUUAGAGGCCUUGGGGUCGAAACGACCUCAACCUAUUCUCAAACUCCAAAUAGAUGAGAACCCCUGGCUUUUCUUAAACUAUGAAGCCAAGGGGUUUCGGAUCAGAGUGCCAAGUGGGCCAAUUUUGGUAAGCAGAACUGGCGCUGUGGGAUGAACCAAACGCGGAGUUAAGGCGCCUCAAUCGACGCUCAUGUGAGACCAUGAAAGGCGUUGGUUGCUUAAGACAGCAGGACGGUGGCCAUGGAAGUCGGAAUCCGCUAAGGAGUGUGUAACAACUCACCUGCCGAAGCAACUAGCCCUGAAAAUGGAUGGCGCUGUAGCGUCGUGCCUAUACUCCGCCGUCAACGGCAACGCAGGCAGCUCUCUCACGGGAGCGGCGCUGUUAAGCCUUGACGAGUAAGAGGGCCGCGGCGACGUGCGCAGAAGGGUUUUGGGCGCGAGCCUGCCUGGAGCCGUCGUCGGUGCAGAUCUUGGUGGUAGUAGCAAAUACUCCAGCGAGGCCCUGGAGGACUGAUGUGGAGAAGGGUUUCUUGUGAACAGCUGUUGCACAAGAGUCAGUCGAUCCUAAGCCCUAGGAGAAAUCCGAAGCGAUGGGUUGCCGUUAAAUGUCACAAGCUUGAUGUUGGCACCAUUUGGGCGAAAGGGAAUCUGGUUCCUAUUCCAGAACCUGGCAGUGGAACCGUUCCAAAUCGGGCCCUCAUUGAGGACUCGUCAGGGCAACCUGAAAGGACCCGGAGACGCCGUCGGGAGAUUCAGGGAGAGUUGUCUCUUCUCUAUAAGCGAUCGAGUUCCCUGGAAACCUCUAGCAGGGAGAUAGGGUUUGGAUCGCGAAGAGCACCGCAGUUACGGCGGUGUCCGAAUCUUCCCCACGGACCUUGAAAAUCCGGGAGAGGGCCACGAGGAACCCCACGCCAGAAUCGUACCCAAUAUCCGCAGCAAGGUCUCCAAGGUGAAAAAGCCUCUAGUCGAUAGACUAAUGUA
rnacentral:rRNA from 1 species